AGGGUGAGGAAGAAAGAAGACAACGGCACUGGACCUGAGAGUCAAGGGUGAGGAAGAAAGAAGGGGACGGCGCUGGACCUGCGAGUCAAGAGGGAGGAAGAAAGAAGAGGACGGUGCCGGACGUGCAAGUCAAGAGGGAGGAAGAAAGAAUUGCACGGCCCUGGACCUGUGAGUGAAGAGUUAGCUUCAGCUAGCAAGCCUGAUAUACCUGAGCGAGGGGACGACAGCACAGAGGCUUCUGCCAGUAACACUGAGCACCUGACUGGUUAGAGGAGCAAGUGGACAAGCAGAUCCUGGGGCACAGCACAGGGAGAGCACCGAUUCCCCAAGAAAAUGCCAUUGUGCACCAUAGGGGGUACACUCUGCAACUUUCAAGCCCGCUUGUGCCUUAGCUCACACCUACGACAUUGCGCUGCAGAUGCGAUUUUAACUUGGCACUAGUUGUUGUAGUGUUUGGCUUUGGUGAGGCCAGUGUGUGUUGGUCGUCAGGUAGCGUAGGGUGGGCUCUUAAGGAGAGAGCGAGGUUUUUCAUGCAGGAGCUGUCUGACGCUGGAGUGUUGUUGUGGAAGUGUUCACGUUGGCGUUGUCUGAUGUUGGAGCAUUC